AUCGCAUGAUGCAGUGUGAAAAACUCCGGUGGUAUGAGAUGGACCCGCGUCUGAUUAGCUGGUUGGUGAGGUAACGGCCCACCAAGGCGACGAUCAGUAGCCGGCCUGAGAGGGUGACCGGCCACAUUGGGACUGAGACACGGCCCAAACUCCUACGGGAGGCAGCAGUGGGGAAUAUUGCACAAUGGGGGAAACCCUGAUGCAGCGACGCCGCGUGAAGGAAGAAGUAUCUCGGUAUGUAAACUUCUAUCAGCAGGGAAGAUAAUGACGGUACCUGACUAAGAAGCCCCGGCUAACUACGUGCCAGCAGCCGCGGUAAUACGUAGGGGGCAAGCGUUAUCCGGAUUUACUGGGUGUAAAGGGAGCGUAGGCGGCGGAGCAAGUCAGAAGUGAAAGCCCGGGGCUCAACCCCGGGACGGCUUUUGAAACUGCCCUGCUUGAUUUCAGGAGAGGUAAGCGGAAUUCCUAGUGUAGCGGUGAAAUGCGUAGAUAUUAGGAGGAACACCAGUGGCGAAGGCGGCUUACUGGACUGACAAUGACGCUGAGGCUCGAAAGCGUGGGGAGCAAACAGGAUUAGAUACCCUGGUAGUCCACGCCGUA
rnacentral:rRNA from 1 species